rnacentral:rRNA from 1 species
GGGCCCGCACAAGCGGCGGAGCAUGCGGAUUAAUUCGAUGCAACGCGAAGAACCUUACCAAGGCUUGACAUACACGAGAACACCCUAGAAAUAGGGGACUCUUUGGACACUCGUGAACAGGUGGUGCAUGGUUGUCGUCAGCUCGUGUCGUGAGAUGUUGGGUUAAGUCCCGCAACGAGCGCAACCCUCGUUCUAUGUUGCCAGCACGUAAUGGUGGGAACUCAUGGGAUACUGCCGGGGUCAACUCGGAGGAAGGUGGGGAUGACGUCAAAUCAUCAUGCCCCUUAUGUCCAGGGCUUCACGCAUGCUACAAUGGCCGGUACAAAGGGCUGCGAUCCCGUAAGGGGGAGCGAAUCCCAAAAAGCCGGUCUCAGUUCGGAUUGGGGUCUGCAACUCGACCCCAUGAAGUCGGAGUCGCUAGUAAUCGCAGA